rnacentral:rRNA from 1 species
GUUGAACGCUGGCGGCAUGCCUAACACAUGCAAGUCGAACGGCAACAUGGUCUAGCUUGCUAGACUGAUGGCGAGUGGCGAACGGGUGAGUAAUGCGCAGGAAUAUGCCUUGAAGAGUGGGACAACUUAGGGAAACUUAAGCUAAUACCGCAUAAGCUCUGAGGAGGGAAGCUGGGGACCUUCGGGCCUGGCGCUUCAAGAAUAGCCUGCGUCCGAUUAGCUAGUUGGUAGGGUAAGAGCCUACCAAGGCGACGAUCGGUAGCUGGUCUGAGAGGAUGAUCAGCCACACUGGAACUGAGACACGGUCCAGACUCCUACGGGAGGCAGCAGUGGGGAAUAUUGGACAAUGGGGGGAACCCUGAUCCAGCAAUGCCGCGUGUGUGAAGAAGGCCUUAGGGUUGUAAAGCACUUUCAGUGGGGAGGAGGAUUGACAGGUUAAGAGCUAGUUGAUUGGACGUUACCCACAGAAGAAGCACCGGCUAACUCCGUGCCAGCAGCCGCGGUAA